rnacentral:lncRNA from 1 species
GCCACACAGAGACGUCUAGGUCAUGCAGGAGGCGCCCGGCCCCGGCCCGCUCCCGCCGCCCCAGACCCCUCCUCUCAUCCGACAGAAAGACAGACAAGAAGGGUUCCCGACCUGUCGUGCCCUGCAUGUUCAGAGUCUGUCAUGUUUGGUCAAGAACGGGGCGGGGCUGGAGGGCAGGUCUGCGAGGCCGGCGGCGGCGGGGCGCGGGGAAGACCCCCCGCGCCGCCUGCGGGAACCUGCUCCCGGCCGCCGCCGACAGGUGACGAAGUGGUAAAAACUCACGGUUACUAGUGAGCGACACAGACACAGACUUUCCAGUCUAUUAACAACCACGCCAGAGAGAUGGGGCUCUAACUGCAAACACUGGGCAACGGCCCCGCGCUGCCGGCGCUGCCGCUCUAGUCUCUAUUCGCCGCCGGUGGCUGUGGCGUGGGAGCGGGCGGGCGGCGUGCAGCGACGCGGGGAUUUGGACAGUGGCCGUAACGGUGAUUUCUCCUCACCAACAUGGCGGCACCCGAAACAGGCGGCUCGAGAAAAUGGCGCCGGCCGCAACACCUUGCCCGGGACUAAAGGGCAAGAGAGAUUCCUCCGCGAGCCGCGGCCCUUGCCCAGCCCGCCGGGGCCGAGCGCGUUGACCAUUGGAGGAGAGUGCCCGUCAAUCACCUGCAGGGGCGGGUCUUCGCCCUUCUCUGUGCAGCGGCGGAGGCGGCAGCCUAGUGGCGGGGCCGGGCGGCGAGAGACGCGGCCGGAUGGCUCCUCGAGUGUCUGCAGGAGGGGGAGGCAGCCCACGGGACCUACGAGGGCCACCAGCGCUUCUGCUCCCGGCGCAGUACGGGCCGCGGUUUUUCCUGCGAGACGCCCGCCGCCCGAGGAGUUCCAGACGCACCAAGCAAACGGGCCCCAAAACCGUUAGCCGAGGCGGGCAGGGGUGGGAUAACAAAGAACAAGGCGGCUGUAGAGUCCUUAAAUUUUUUUGUGAAAACCUUUGUUCUUGUAAUAAUAGGGAAAUGCAGUUUCUCCUUCACAGUUGUAGCAAGUAUCUGUUUUUGUAACGUUUAGUGUUCAGAAUCAUGUUUUAAGGAAAAUAGCUUGCCAUGCAGUUUUUUCUUGUAUUUGCUGUUAAAUUUACCCAAUUAUUACUUAAAUAGGAAUAGCUAUUGAAAUAAUUAUAUAAACGUUACUUUAUUUCGUAAUAAUAUUAACAUGUAAAAUGUAUGCGAGUAUUUUAUAAAUACUAUUAGGCAUGCCUUUUUUUUUUUUUUUUUUUUUUUUUUUUUUUUUUUUUUCUGAGAUGGAGUCUCCUCUGUCGCCCAGGCUGGAGUGCAGUGUCGCGCUCUCGGCUCACUGCAACCUCUGCCUCCUGGGUUCAAGCAAUUUUCCUGCCUCAGCCUCCCGAGUAGCUGGGACUGCAGGCACGCGCCACCACGCCUGGCUAAUUUUUGUAUUUUUAGUAGAGAUGGGGUUUCCCCAUUUUGGCCAGGCUGGUCUCGAACUCCUGACUUCAGGUGAUCCGCCCUCCUGGGUCUCCCAAAGUGCUGGGGUUACAGCCGUGAGCCACCGCGCCCGACCAUGCAUGAGUUUUUUAUACUUAUGAAGUGACCUUAAAAAAUUUUUAAAUGACAAGUCAGUGUUUUGGCCUAUUUAAUAUAUUAGUCCUGAAGGAAAGUUCCUUGCUUUUUACUAAAAUGAUAGACUCAAUGAUUAAUCCAAAUAUCUGACUUAAUUUGUCUUUCCUUAAUAAUACAUUUUACUAAUACAUAAAUGGAAUGCAUUCAAAAACAAUUGCAAUGAGUGGAUUAAAUUGGAAAUGUAAAGUUUUUGAUAUUAACAUAUACAUUGAAAAUAAAGGCCGGGCGUAAUGGCUCACGCCUGUAAUCCCAGCACUUUGGGAGGCUGAGGCGGGCAGAUCACCAGAGGUCGGGAGUUCGAUACCCGCCUGACCAACAUGGAGAAACCCAGUCUCUACUAAAAAUAAAAAUAAGCCAGGCGUGGUAGCCCAUGCCUGUAAUCCCAGCUAAUCGGGAAGCUGAGGCAAGAGAAUCGCUUGAACCCGGGAGGCGGAGGUUGCGGUGAGCCGAGGUCGAGUCAUUGCGCUCCAGCCUGGGCAACAAAAGCGAAACUCCGUCUUAAAAAAAAAAAAAAGUCGCCCCUUUUUUUUUUUUUAAAGUUGAAUACAGCCAGUGACAGGAGCUGUGGUCGCACUAUUUUUUUUUUUUUUUCAGUUGAAUGCAGCCAGUGACAGGACCUGUACUUAUAGCCACACUUUACCAUAAUAAAUUUGUAGGGAGCUUUCAAAAGGUACUAUGAAGGUACUAUGAAGAAACUAUGUUAACAUUUGGAGUUACAUUAAAAUCUCAGGACUUCGGUUUUAUCGUAACUGUUUUAGUUAAUUUAGGCCUUUCUGUAGCUAAUUUGGGUAACUGCUUUCUUGAAGUUAUCCAGAGGCCCUUGUGGUAAACAGUUGCUGUUCUUUCUUGCACUUCUGUUUUCCCCUGUCUCCUGUAUCUGGAGGUCUGAGAAUUUCUUUCAAGCCUUCGUUAAGGUGUUUGGUUUGUGAUGGCGUAGGACAGUGCAGUUCUCUCUGGAUGAAAAGCCUCCUUUUCGAACCGUUGGCAUGCGCCACUUAAGUUUGAUGGUAAAAUUUGUCAUCAGGUCUUGGUCUUUUUCUCUAGGUAACAGAAAGGGGAGGUGUGUGGGGGUGAGCAUUGAGGGGCAGUGCUCCUUUGAGGCUAUGGGUUUUUAGAAUCUAGAAGUGCUUAGAGAUCUGUGACACCUUGUCUUUAAUUGCCUCAGUUAAGGAGCAAUGUAGGUAUCAAAGAGAUUACACUAAUUAAUUUUAAACCUAACAGAUUUUACCUAAUAAUGACAUAUGGAUCAUGAGAACUGCAGAACUCUUGUCACGUAAUGACCUUGUCCAAACCUCAGCAAAAGGAGACCACCAAACUAUAGCGAGCCUUGUAGCAGCAUAAGGUCGUGUUCGUAGGAUGACCGCAGAUCUCUCCCCGGGCCUCUCGGUUAAAUGUCUCCCAGAGAAAACUCAACACUGCCCACCUGGCCAUAGGCCCUUGACCCCCUUUCUUGGAGCAUUUACAAAAAAAGAGCUUACAAUUGUGAGUCCUUCCUCUGUCCCCUUGACACGUAUGUGUUCUCUCCUACAAUUCAGGAGUAUCUUUCUUAAGGACCUGAAAGCCAUUCCUUUGAAAUUUAAUCAUCUGGAAGGUUGCUAUCUCCCAUUCUUGGUGGGAGGGUAGAAUCCUGACUUCAGUGAUAAUCGCCAGCUAGCUGACGCAGCUGAUCUAAUCACUUUUAUACUGACAGACUUUGAAAUGUUUUGCAUGUAUUCCGGCUCUUUCCCCCUCCCUUAUUCUCUCUUUAAGCUGCUCAAUUAUCUCUGCAUUGAAAUGGAACGCUGCUCUUUCCCCUACUGUUAGUAAUUACUGAAUAAAAUUGGUUUUCACCACUUUAAUGUCCAGGUUUUUUUAUCUUUGUCAACCUUCCCCACCCUCUAUCCACACAAAAAUUGUAACGGACAUAAAGGUACCAACACUUUAUUUUGCUAAAUAAAUUAAACAUAUUAAACAUCUUACGGUUAUUUCAUAAAAGACAUUUUAACAUCAAGAAAGUAGGAAGGAUAUCAUUAUUUUUGUUUCGUUGGUUUUUGUUGGGUUUUUUUUUGAGACAGAGUUUCACUUCACAGGCUGGAGUGCAGUGGCACGAUCUCGGCUCACUGCAACCUCUGCCUUCUGGGUUCAAGCAAUUCUCAUGCCUUAGCCUCUCGAGUAGCAGCUAGCAUUACAGGCACGCACCAUCAUGCCCGCUAAUUUUCGUAUUUUUCAUAGAGACGGUGGUUUCUGCCAUGUUGGUCAGGCUGGUCUCUAUCUCCUGACCUUGAGUGAUUCAUCCGCCUCGGCCUUCCAAAGUGCUGGGAUUACAGGCGUGAGCCACCGCGCCUGGCCAAGGAUAUACUUUAAAAAGCCAAUUACUUUACUUUGAAUUCCUUUACAUUUAGUGUUAAGAAAAAUUCCUUUUAUUGCCCGUGUUUUGUCCCAGAUGGUAAGAAUAAGCCCUGGUAUACCAAGGCUCCCAAUAUUGGACCACUAGACAUUCGGAGACUGGUCAGACUUGGGACAAAAACGGUCUCCUAGGUGAUCAUCCUAGCUGGAAGAUUAGGGGACCCUUACCCCAUCCUUCCUGGUAGCUUAUACAAACCCUAAAUGUAUAUGUGGCCCUAGGC